AGGAUGGGCCCGCGUUGGAUUAGCUAGUUGGUGUGGUAAAGGCGCACCAAGGCGACGAUCCAUAGCUGGUCUGAGAGGAUGAUCAGCCACACUGGGACUGAGACACGGCCCAGACUCCUACGGGAGGCAGCAGUGGGGAAUCUUGGACAAUGGGGGCAACCCUGAUCCAGCCAUGCCGCGUGAGUGAAGAAGGCCUUAGGGUUGUAAAGCUCUUUUGGCGGGGACGAUAAUGACGGUACCCGCAGAAUAAGCCCCGGCUAACUUCGUGCCAGCAGCCGCGGUAAUACGAAGGGGGCUAGCGUUGUUCGGAAUCACUGGGCGUAAAGCGUACGCAGGCGGAUAGAUAAGUCAGGGGUGAAAUCCCGGGGCUCAACCUCGGAAUUGCCUUUGAUACUGUCUAUCUUCGAGUUCGGGAGAGGUUGGCGGAAUUCCUAGUGUAGAGGUGAAAUUCGUAGAUAUUAGGAAGAACACCAGUGGCGA
rnacentral:rRNA from 1 species